rnacentral:lncRNA from 1 species
UGCUCAUCACAGAGAACAUACUCAGAUACUCUAAAUCUUAGAAACUUUGAAAGCCGAAGCUGUUCAUCAGAUAUACAUGCUGUUUACACUACAAGGUUCAUUAAAUUCAGAUUCCAAAACAUUACAGCAAUUAAGACAUAUAUAAUUAUUAACAAUCUGAUAUUGAAACAGAAUUCCUCUAUUUUCCAUGCACUGACCAAGUAACCGUAAAACUUGGGAAGAAUAAUCAAGCCGGAAAGAGGUGAGAAACAGCUCUCAUACGGAUGAAGAGAUGGAGCC